rnacentral:rRNA from 1 species
UUUUUUCUCGAAAGUAAAAGAUCUAAAUUUAUUUUUUAGUUUUUGUGUCAAAAAAAUUGGGAAAAUGAAUUUAGGUGUGAGAUGUUUAUCGUUUUUACUAAUAUCUAGUAAUUUCAGAAAUAAGUUCAGUUUAGACUUUUGAGGGAUUCUUUAAUUUUUAGAAAUUUUAAAUAAGGUCUUAUAUUUUAGGGGAUGAGCUCUAAAAUAAAUUUAAAAGAAAGUAUAGGAUUAAGUUUUUGGUAGGCUUAGAAUUGGUCAUGAGAUAGUGUUAUAAGAUAAAAAUCUAGGAUUAUGAUUUAAUUUUUCUUUGGAAUUUAUGAAAUUAAAUAUAAAAUAAAAUAGAAAUUGAAAAUAUGAUAAUAUAAGUAGAUAAUGAAAAUUGAGAAAGAGAUUUAAAUUUUACGUAGAAAAAGAGUAAAAGAUUUGUAACAAAAGAACUCGGCAAAAAAGAUUUCCGAAUGUUUAACAAAAACAUUUCCUCUUGAUAAAGGGAGGUAAGGCCUGCUCACUGAAAUUUAAAGAGCCGCAGUAUCCUGACUGUGCUAAGGUAGCAUAAUCAUUAGUCUUUUAAUUGGAGACUGGUAUGAAUGGUUAAACGAGAAAUCAACUUUUUUUGUUAUAGUAAUUGAAUUUAAUUUUUUAGUGAAAAAGCUAAAAUAUUUCAGAAAGACGAGAAGACCCUAUAGAGUUUUAUACUUUAAAAAAUUUUUUUUUAUUAGAUUUUUUUGAAUAAAAUUUUUGAUAGUAUUUUGUUGGGGCGACAUUAAGAUAAAAAAAACUCUUUAUUUUUUAAACUUUAUUAAAAGAAUUGUUUGAUCCUUUAAAAAAGAUCAAAAGAAAAAAUUACCUUAGGGAUAACAGCGUAAUCUUUUUUGAGAGUUCUAAUCGACAAAAAGGUUUGCGACCUCGAUGUUGGAC